GAUGAAGAACGCAGCGAAAUGCGAUAAGUAAUGUGAAUUGCAGAAUUCAGUGAAUCAUCGAAUCUUUGAACGCACAUUGCGCCCGCCAGUAUUCUGGCGGGCAUGCCUGUUCGAGCGUCAUUUCAACCAUCAAGCCCCGGGCUUGUGUUGGGGACCUGCGGCUGCCGCAGGCCCUGAAAAGCAGUGGCGGGCUCGCUGUCACACCGAGCGUAGUAGCAUACAUCUCGCUCUGGGCGUGCUGCGGGUUCCGGCCGUUAAACCACCUUUUAACCCAAGGUUGACCUCGGAUCAGGUAGGAAGACCCGCUGAACUUAAGCAUAUCAAUAAGCGAGGA
rnacentral:misc_RNA from 1 species